GCAAGAUACCACGGGCGCACGGCGGAUGCCUUGGCACAGGGAGCCGAUGAAGGACGCGGCAAGCUGCGAUAAUCCCCGGCGAGGAGCACACAUCCUUCGACCCGGGGGUCUCCGAAUGGGCGAACCCAUGCACAGCAGUGUGCAUAUCCCCACCCCGAACACAUAGGGGCGGGGAGGACAACCCGGGGAACUGAAACAUCUAAGUACCCGGAGGAGAGGAAAUCAAUCUCGAGACUCCCCGAGUAGCGGCGAGCGAAAGGGGACCGAUGGCCAAACCGUCGAGCGGGCAUACCCGGCAGGGGUUCCGCCGACGGGGUUGCAGGGCCGCGCAUCCGGGGGCUGCCGCCCCCGGGCGCAGGUCCGGCUGGGGAGCGGAACGGCAUGGGAGGGCCGGCCGCAGCGGGUGACAGCCCCGUACGCGAACCCAGACCGGACGGCGCGACGCGGUCCCUGAGUAGGGCCGGGCACGUGAAACCCGGUCCGAACCUGGGUGGACCACCAUCCAAGCCUGAGUACUACCCUGUGACCGAUAGCGCACCAGUACCGUGAGGGAAAGGUGAAAAGCACCCCGGGAGGGGAGUGAAACAGUACCUGAAACCGUGCGCCCACGAGCAGUCGGAGCAACUUUCAGUUGUGACGGCGUGCCUUUUGUAGAAUGAGCCAGCGAGUCGCUGGCGCGGGGCGAGGUUAACCGAAAGGGAGCCGAAGCGAAAGCGAGCCUUAACAGGGCGACUUGAGUCCCGCGCCGCGGACGCGAAGCCGGGUGAGCUAUCCGUGGGCAGGCUGAAGCGGGGGUAAGACCCCGUGGAGGGCCGAACGCACGUCGGUUGAAAACGGCGGCGAUGACCUGCGGAUAGGGGUGAAAGGCCAAUCAAACCCGGAGAUAUCUCGUUCUCCCCGAAAUAGCUUUAGGGCUAGCGUCGCGCGUUCACCGCCGGAGGUAGAGCACCGGAUGGACGAGGGGGCUUCGCCGCCUACCGAAUCCAACCGAACUCCGAAUGCCGGCGGCCCAGAGCGCGGCAGUCAGAGCAUGUGGGCUAAGCUGUGUGCUCGAGAGGGAAACAGCCCGGACCGCCCGCUAAGGUCCCCAAGUUCCAGCCGAGUGGCAAAGGAUGUGCGUCCGCCCAGACAACCAGGAUGUUGGCUUAGAAGCAGCCAUCCAUUCAAAGAGUGCGUAACAGCUCACUGGUCGAGUGGACAUGCGCCGACAAUACACGGGGCUAAGCUGGACACCGAAGCGGCGGGAUUUUAAUUCAUUAGAAUCGGUAGGGGAGCUUCCCAUGGGCGGAGAAGCCGGAGGGCGACCGACGGUGGAGCGCAUGGGAGUGAGAAUGCUGGCAUGAGUAGCGAGAGACGAGAGAGUAACUCGUCCGCCGUGAACCCGAGGUUUCCUGGGCAAGGCUAAUCCUCCCAGGGUCAGUCGGGGGCUAAGGCGAGGCCGGGAGGCGUAGCCGACGCGCAGCAGGCAGACAUUCCUGCACCGCGCACGCGGCGCUACGACCGACGGGGCGACGGAUGGGGGUGGCUCGGCGGGGUUCUGGACGUCCCCGUGAUGGAGCGCGGCCCGCGGACCAGGGAAAUCCGGUCCGCAUUGAGGGCGAGGCUCCGGACGAAGCGACUGAGCGAAGCGAGUGAGCCCGAGGUCCCUAGAAAAACCCCUAGGCAGGCGCGUGCGCGCCCGUACCGCAAACCGACACAGGUGGGUGGGUAGAACAUACCGAGGCGAUCGGGUCAACCAUGGUCAAGGAACUCGGCACAAUGGCCCCGUAACUUCGGGAGAAGGGGUGCCCGCGCGUACGUGAACCGGCUUGCCCGGGGAGCGGAGGCGGGCCGCAGUGGAGAGGCCCAAGCGACUGUUUACCAAAAACACAGGACUCUGCAGAAGCCGCAAGGCGACGUAUAGGGUCUGACGCCUGCCCGGUGCCGGAAGGUCACGCGGAGGAGUUAGCGCAUCGCGCGAAGCCCCGAAGCCAAGCCCCGGUAAACGGCGGCCGUAACUAUAACGGUCCUAAGGUAGCGAAAUUCCUUGUCGGGUAAGUUCCGACCU
rnacentral:rRNA from 1 species